rnacentral:tRNA from 1 species
GGAGAUGUAGCUCAGUGGUAAAGCUAUUGCCUACCCUGCACACAGCCCUGGGUUCAAUCCCCAGCACCA